GGAAGGCCCCCUUUGUUGUGGUGGAAGCCGGGCGCUGGUCUCUGCAGCCCGUGGCGAUGCCGCUGUACGAGGGCCUGGGGAGCGGCGGGGAGAAGACGGCGGUGGUGAUAGACCUGGGAGAAUCUUUCACCAAAUGUGGUUUUGCGGGAGAAACAGGACCAAGAUGCAUUAUUCCUAGUGAAAUAAAGAAACCUGACAUUCCUAAGCCUAUUAAAGUCGUUCAGUAUAAUAUUAACACAGAAGAGCUGUAUUCAUAUCUGAAGGAAUUUAUUCACAUGCUGUAUUUCAGACAUCUGCUGGUGAAUCCCAGAGACCGUCGCGUUGUAAUAGUGGAAUCUGUGCUAUGCCCCUCACACUUCAGAGAGACACUCACUAGAGUACUUUUCAAGUAUUUUGAGGUUCCUUCUGUGUUGUUUGCCCCAAGUCACCUGAUGUCUCUUCUGACACUUGGGAUUAAUUCUGCUAUGGUUUUAGACUGUGGAUAUGCAGAAAGUCUGGUGCUGCCUAUAUAUGAGGGAAUUCCCAUUUUGAGUUGCUGGGGUGCCCUUCCCCUAGGAGGAAAAGCAAUUCACAAGGAGCUGGAGAAUCAGCUGUUGGAGCAAUGCAGUGUUGACACAGGAGUAGCUAAAGGACAAAGACUCCCAUCAGUGAUGGGCUCAGUUCCAGAAGACAUUGUAGAGGAUAUAAAAGUCCGCACUUGUUUUGUGAGUGAUCUCCAACGUGGGCUGAAAAUCCAGGCAGCAAAGUUUAACAUGGAUGGCAGUGCUGAGCGUCCUUCACCACCUCCAGAUGUAGAUUACCCUCUAGAUGGAGAGAAGAUUCUGCAUGUAGUUGGCUCAAUCAGAGACUCAGUUGUUGAAAUACUAUUUGAGCAGGAUAAUGAAGAGAAAUCCGUUGCCACUUUAAUACUGGAUGCACUUAUUGAGUGCCCAAUAGACACCAGGAAGCAGCUGGCUGAGAACUUAGUAGUUAUUGGUGGCACUGCUAUGUUGCCAGGAUUCCUACACAGAUUAAUGGCUGAAAUUAGGUGCCUGGUUGAUAAACCAAAAUACAAAGAAGCACUUGCCACUAAGACCUUCAGAAUUCACACUCCACCUGCCAAACCCAACUGUGUGGCUUGGCUGGGAGGAGCCAUUUUUGGAGCUCUUCAGGACAUACUUGGAAGCCGGUCAGUGUCCAAGGAAUAUUACAGUCAAACAGGCCGUAUACCUGACUGGUGCUGUCUCAAUAACCCUCCUUUGGAAAUGAUGUUUGAGGUUGGCAAAGCCCCACCACCAUUGAUGAAGAGGGCUUUUUCCACUGAGAAAUAAGCAUCUGAAUACAACACAACUGCACAAGGCUUCCUUUCACCUAUUUCAAGCAGACCUAUACAAGUUGCUUCUUAUGCAAAGAAUGAAGGAGAUUCCUUGUUACCUGAAACCAUCUGUGGAAGUUUCUCUGCCAAACUCUGCAUAAAAUGUUGCACAUGUUAACAUAACCUGUUGGUUCAUAUAUUAAAGUGUCUCCUGGAAACUGUUUUGUUUUGUUGUCUGUCCAUGGAAGUUGUUAUAGGGAUAGUAAUUCUCUUAGACAGAGAUGCCUAUUUUCAGAAGCUGAACAGGGAGUUGCUCCAGGCUGAAGUUGUCAAAGUGUCAACCUGCCUGCUAGCUACCUUUACCCCCCCAAAUCUGUCCGACCACUCAGGAAAUGUACAUGAAAAUCUUAAUGUUAAUAACAUGCCCAUAUUGAUUAUUUUAAUUUUAUUUGGGUUGGAGAGGCAAGUUAGCCUCAAGGCAGAUGUUAAAAUAUGUAAUCCUACGGCAAUAAAUAUUAAAUAAAAAUACACAGCUGAACUCUAAGGCAAAUGAUGUACAAUAACUGAUGUAAAGACCAAAAGUAAUAAAAGACUUGAAAUUCCUAA